UACGUAGGGUGCAGGCGUUUAAUCGGAAUUACUGGGCGUAAAGCGUGCGCAGGCGGUCUUUUAAGUCAGAUGUGAAAUCCCCGGGCUUAACCUGGGAACUGCGUUUGAAACUGGAAGGCUAGAGUGUGGCAGAGGGGGGUGGAAUUCCACGUGUAGCAGUGAAAUGCGUAGAUAUGCGGAGGAACACCGAUGGCGAAGGCAAUCCCCUGGGCCUGCACUGACGCUCAUGCACGAAAGCGUGGGGAGCAAACAGG
rnacentral:rRNA from 1 species